rnacentral:lncRNA from 1 species
AUUAUGAGGAAAGAAGCUCUCAGCAUUCCAAAGCAGAAGGAACAACUGUCUUGAAUAUGUCGAAAAUUGCUGUCUUUAAGCAGAUGAAGCACCCAGAGGACCACAAUCCUCGGAUUUUAUGAGAAGACCUUCUGCCCUGCCUGCCCUUUUGAGACCUUUAUCUGAAAAGGAACCUGCAAUCCUAGAAAAGAGGUGGAGGCAGGCUUGAUUCAGUUAAGGAAGUUCUUUCUUCUCAGCAAUUACCACGCCAAUUCUGUGGAAAAGCAACAUUUGGAAGACGAGAGAAAUCCACUGUAGGAAGUAUUAGAAAUACCUGCAAUUAGGCUUCAAACAAGCAAAUGAGGCAGGUCUAUUCCCCAGGCCUAACAAGUCUUUGAGGGCAGGAAAAGUAAAUGACGACAGCCUGUGUCCUCUCCAUGACACCACUCUGCCUCCAUGGAACCACUCUGCCCCCAUGGAUCUCUCCAGUUUUAAGUCUGGGGAAAUCUAUCAAUCACACAAUUUCAGUUAGCAUUCCAAGAACUAGGGGAAGGCCCGAGUAAUCUAUUCAAAGACAUGCUUCAGAAAGAACACACCGACCCCAUGGAGAGUUAAACCUGAUUACCAAGAAGCAGGAUAGUUAGGUGUUUCCGCUAUUUACAUAAUCAUUGUAAAUAUAAGUUACAGACUAAUUACAAUGAUAAUUAUGACAAUGAGCCUGGC